UUGCCCCGUGGUGUAACGGUAGCACGAAUGAUUCUGAAUCAUUUAGUCGAGGUUCAAAUCCUCGCGGGGCAAU
rnacentral:tRNA from 1 species